AUGGAAAAUGGAAAAAAUAUAACAUGUUGUAGAUUGUUUAGGGAUCCAAAAUAUGCGGCACUUCAUCUUCCUCGCGAUCCAAUUUCUUCUCAAACAGUUUCAGGUUAUGAUUUCUGGCGAACUUGGCACUGUGAACAUCACCAUUCACUUCCUCAUCUCUUCAUCUCGUUUUGGCUUGCUUCAACAUCAACAAAUAUGACCUCUUUUCCCUUUCCCGUUCAUAUCGUCUCAGCUCUUCGACAUCAUCUCAUUUCUGCGGAUCCGCUUCAAAUAUUGCAAAUCAAAUUUCUAGUUCAAUCUCAGCCUCCCAUGCUCAAGCUAUCAGAGUAG